GUGAUGUUUGCUGAUGACAUUGUGAUCUGUAAUGAGAGUAGGGAGCAGGUUGAGGAGACCCUGAAGAGGUGGAGAUAUGAGAGGAGAGGAAUGAAGGUCAGUAGGACCACCAAGACAGAAUACAUGUGUGUGAAUGAGAGGGAGGUCAGUGGAAUGGUGAGGAUGCAGGGAGUAGAGUUGGCAAAGGUGGAGGAGUUUAAAUACUUGGGAUCAACAGUACAGAGUAACGGGGAAUGUGGAAGAGAAAUGAAGAAGAG